rnacentral:tmRNA from 1 species
GGGGGUGUAAAGGUUUCGACGGGGAUUGUAAGCUUUGGUAAGCGAGUAGCGGUGCGGAACCGCUUUAAAAUCCGCAAACUUAAAAUUAAACGACAACAAUACAGUUGCCUUAGCAGCCUAAGUUGCUGCUCGUUCUGUCCGAGAGUACCACGGCUCGGAUAAGAGCGUCGAUUAGUGGUGAACGUGUUCGGGAGGAUGCCUUGACCCCGUAUAUGUACUAAAGGCUACCAACGCAGCAAGCCUGCCUUUGGGCGUGCUGCCGAGGGAAUGUAAAAACAUUGGCUACACUCGUAGAAAGCCUUGGUAAGCGGUUUUCGGACAGGAGUUCGAUUCUCCUCACCUCCACCA